UCGUUUAUUUGAUAGUACCUUACUACUUGGAUACCCGUGGUAAUUCUAGAGCUAAUACAUGCUAAAAACCCCAACUCCGGGAGGGGUGUGUUUAUUAGAUAAAAAACCAACGCCCUUCGGGGCUCCUUGGUGAUUCAUGAUAACUUCUCAGAUCGCACGGCCUUGCGCCGGCGACGGUUCAUUCAAAUUUCUGCCCUAUCAACUUUCGAUGGUAAGGUAUUGGCUUACCAUGGUUUCAACGGGUAACGGGGAAUUAGGGUUCGAUUCCGGAGAGCGAGCCUGAGAAACGGCUAGCACAUCCAAGGAAGGCAGCAGGCGCGCAAAUUACCCAAUCCCGACACGGGGAGGUAGUGACAAUAAAUACUGAUACAGGGCUCUUUUGGGUCUUGUAAUUGGAAUGAGUACAAUUUAAACCUCUUAACGAGGAACAAUUGGAGGGCAAGUCUGGUGCCAGCAGCCGCGGUAAUUCCAGCUCCAAUAGCGUAUAUUAAAGUUGUUGCAGUUAAAAAGCUCGUAGUUGAAUCUUUGGCCUGGCUGGCAGGUCCGCCUCACCGCGUGCACUUGUCCGGCCGGGCCUUUUCUUCUGGAGAACCGCAUGCCCUUCACUGGGCGUGUUGGGGACCAGGACUUUUACUUUGAAAAAAUUAGAGUGUUCAAAGCAGGCCUUUGCUCGAAUACGUUAGCAUGGAAUAAUAGAAUAGGACGUGCGGUCCUAUUUUGUUGGUUUCUAGGACCGCCGUAAUGAUUAAUAGGGACAGUCGGGGGCAUCAGUAUUCAAUUGUCAGAGGUGAAAUUCUUGGAUUUAUUGAAGACUAACUACUGCGAAAGCAUUUGCCAAGGAUGUUUUCAUUAAUCAGUGAACGAAAGUUAGGGGAUCGAAGACGAUCAGAUACCGUCGUAGUCUUAACCAUAAACUAUGCCGACUAGGGAUCGGGCGGUGUUAUCGAUUUG
rnacentral:rRNA from 1 species